rnacentral:rRNA from 1 species
GACGAACGCUGGCGGCGUGCUUAACACAUGCAAGUCGAACGGAAAGGCCCUGCUUUUGUGGGGUGCUCGAGUGGCGAACGGGUGAGUAACACGUGAGUAACCUGCCCUUGACUUUGGGAUAACUUCAGGAAACUGGGGCUAAUACCGGAUAGGAGCUCCUGCUGCAUGGUGGGGGUUGGAAAGUUUCGGCGGUUGGGGAUGGACUCGCGGCUUAUCAGCUUGUUGGUGGGGUAGUGGCUUACCAAGGCUUUGACGGGUAGCCGGCCUGAGAGGGUGACCGGCCACGUUGGACUGGAGAUACGGCCCAGCCGCCACCGGGGGACAGCGGUGGGAAGUAUGCAACAAGGGGGGGAGGCUUGAGGAAGCACCGCCGCAGGCGGAAGGACGGCUUUCGGUUUAUAAACCGCUUCCGCCUGGGACGAAGGGUGAUUGAGGGUAAGGGGAAAAGAAGCACCGGCUAACUACGUG